UUUCCGUAGGUGAACCUGCGGAAGGAUCAUUACCGAGUGCGGGUUCCAAUGAGCCCAACCUCCCACCCGUGUUUACCAUGACCGCGUUGCCUCGGCGAGCUCACUGGGGCCUGGCCCCGGUCGCCGGGGGGCUUCUGCCCCCGGGUCUGCGCCCGCCGAAGCGCCCUGGAACCCUGUCUGAAUAGUGAGUCUGAGUGAAUGAUUUAAUCAUUAAAACUUUCAACAACGGAUCUCUUGGUUCCG
rnacentral:misc_RNA from 1 species